UGCAGUAGACGCACAGGAUGCACCGUAGUUUACUACACCGUAUUCUGUGAGUUGCGAACGGGUGAGUAACGCGUAGGUAACCUGCCUGGUAGCGGGGGAUAACUAUUGGAAACGAUAGCUAAUACCGCAUAAGAACAUUUACUGCAUGGUAGAUGUUUAAAAGGUGCAAAUGCAUCACUACCAGAUGGACCUGCGUUGUAUUAGCUAGUAGGUGAGGUAACGGCUCACCUAGGCGACGAUACAUAGCCGACCUGAGAGGGUGAUCGGCCACACUGGGACUGAGACACGGCCCAGACUCCUACGGGAGGCAGCAGUAGGGAAUCUUCGGCAAUGGGGGGAACCCUGACCGAGCAACGCCCCGUGAGUGAAAAAGGUUUUCGGAUCGUAAAGCUCUGUUGUUAAGGAAAAACGAGUGUGAAAAUGGAAAGUUCAUACUGUGACGGUACUUAACCAAAAAGGGACGGCUAACUACUUGCCACCACCCGCGGUAAUACUUAGGUCCCGAGCGUUGUCCGGAUUUAUUGGGCGUAAAGCGAGCGCAGGCGGUUAGAUAAGUCUGAAGUUAAAGGCAGUGGCUCAACCAUUGUAGGCUUUGGAAACUGUUUAACUUGAGUGCAGAAGGGGAGAGUGGAAUUCCAUGUGUAGCGGUGAAAUGCGUAGAUAUAUGGAGGAACACCGGUGGCGAAAGCGGCUCUCUGGUCUGUAACUGACGCUGAGGCUCGAAAGCGUGGGGAGCGAACAGGAUUAGAUACGGGGUAAU
rnacentral:rRNA from 1 species